rnacentral:lncRNA from 1 species
AUGAAGGACAAACAGAAGAGGAAGAAGGAGCGCACGUGGGCCGAGGCCGCGCGCCUGGUACUGGAAAACUAUUCGGAUGCUCCAAUGACACCCAAACAGAUUCUGCAGGUCAUAGAGGCAGAAGGACUAAAGGAAAUGAGAAGUGGGACAUCCCCUCUCGCAUGUCUUAAUGCCAUGCUACAUUCCAAUUCCAGAGGAGGAGAGGGGUUAUUUUAUAAACUACCUGGCCGAAUCAGCCUUUUUACACUCAAGAAGGAUGCCCUGCAGUGGUCUCGCAGUCCAGCUGUGGUGGAGGGAGAGGAGCCAGAGGACACAGCUGAUGUGGAGAGCUGUGGGUCUAAUGAAGCCAGCACUGUGAGUGGUGAAAACGAUGUUUCUCUCGAUGAAACAUCUUCGAAUGCUUCCUGUUCUACGGAAUCUCAGAGUCGGCCUCUUUCCAACCCCAGGGACAGCUACAGAGCUUCCUCACAGGCAAACAAGCAGAAGAAAAAGACAGGGGUGAUGCUGCCUCGAGUUGUCCUGACUCCUCUGAAGGUAAACGGGGCCCACGUGGAAUCAGCAUCAGGGUUCUCGGGCCGCCACGCCGAUGGCGAGAGCGGCAGCCCGUCCAGCAGCAGCGGCGGCUCUCCGGCCCUGGGCAGCGCUGCUAUCCGUGGCCAGGCCGAGCUCGCCCGGGACCCUGCCCCGCUCCUAAGAGGCUUCCGGAAGCCGGCCACAGGUCAAAUGAAGCGCAACAGAGGGGAAGAGAUAGAUUUUGAGACGCCUGGGUCCAUUCUUGUCAACACCAACCUCCGGGCCCUGAUCAACUCGCGGACCUUCCAUGCCCUGCCGUCCCACUUCCAGCAGCAGCUCCUGUUCCUCCUGCCCGAAGUAGACAGACAGGUGGGGACUGAUGGCCUGUUACGUCUCAGCAGUAGUGCGCUGAACAAUGAGUUUUUCACCCACGCAGCUCAGAGCUGGCGGGAACGCCUGGCUGAUGGUGAAUUCACUCAUGAGAUGCAGGUCAGGAUACGACAAGAAAUGGAGAAGGAAAAGAAAGUGGAACAAUGGAAAGAAAAGUUUUUCGAAGACUACUAUGGACAGAAGUUGGGUUUAACCAAAGAAGAGUCAUUGCAGCAGAAUGUGGGCCAGGAGGAGGCUGAAAUCAAGAGUGACCUGCGUGUCUCAGAAUCAACACGACCACAGCGUGGCCCAGCCACCCGGCAGCGAGAUGGGCAUUUCAAGAAACGCUCUCGGCCAGAUCUUCGAACCAGAGCCCGAAGGAAUCUGUACAAAAGACAGGAGCCAGAACAAGCAGAGAUCGCUAAAGACACACAGUCCGUGGCACUAGACAUCCCCCUCCACAAGGACGGGGAGGCUAAGACCGACGCAACAGGGGUGGGCAGCCCCCACCCACCUGGCACGUCCUCCGCAGCAUCCAACCCAGAGAGUCCCGAAUUCCCAGCGGAAACUGUGUCCUCCCGGCUCCAGCCCAGUCCCAAUGACCCAGCAUGUGUCUCUGCGUCUCCAGACAGAAUUCCCAGCUUGCUGCAGGAGACCGUGGAUCAGGAACCCAAGGAUCAGAAGAGGAAAUCCUUUGAGCAGGCGACCUCUGCCUCCUUUCCCGAAAAGAAGCCCCGGCUUGAAGAUCGUCAGUCCUUUCGUAACACAAUUGAAAGUGUUCACCCCGAAAAGCCACAGCCCACCAAAGAGGAGCCCAAAGUCCCGCCCAUCCGGAUUCAACUUUCACGUAUCAAACCACCCUGGGUGGUUAAAGGUCAGCCCACUUACCAGAUAUGUCCCCGCAUCGUCCCCAUCACGGAGUCCUCCUGCCGGGGCUGGACUGGUGCCAGGACCCUUGCAGACAUUAAAGCCCGUGCUCUGCAGAGCCACUGC